CCUACGGGCGGCAGCAGUGAGGAAUAUUGGUCAAUGGGCGUAAGCCUGAACCAGCCAAGUCGCGUGAGGGAUGAAGGUUCUAUGGAUCGUAAACCUCUUUUAUAAGGGAGUAAAGUGUGGGACGUGUCCUGUUUGGUAUGUACCUUAUGAAUAAGGAUCGGCUAACUCCUUGCCGGCAGCCGGGGUAAUCCGGAGGAUCCGAGCGUUAUCCGGAUUUAUUGGGUUUAAAGGGUGCGUAGGCGGCCUUUUAAGUCAGCGGUGAAAGUCUGUGGCUCAACCAUAGAAGUGCCGUGGAAACUGGGAGGCUUGAGUAUGUGUGAGGCAGGCGGAAUGCGUGGUGUAGCGGUGAAAUGCUUAGAUAUCACGCAGAACCCCGAUUGCGAAGGCAGCCUGC
rnacentral:rRNA from 1 species